GGCGGAACGGUUAAAGCGCCCAACUCAUAAUUGGCGUAUAUGAGGGUUCGAUUCCUGCUGGAUGCA
rnacentral:tRNA from 3 species